AUAUCAAUAAGCGGAGGAAAAGGAACCAACAGGGAUUGCCCUAGUAACGGCGAGUGAAGCGGCAACAGCUCAAAUUUGAAAUCUGGCCCUCGCGGGGUUCGAGUUGUAAUUUGCAGAGGAUGCUUCGGCGUUGGUCCCGGGCUAAGUCCCCUGGAACGGGGCGUCCUAGAGGGUGAGAGCCCCGUACUCCCCCGGGUAUCCUUCGCCGUGUGAAGCUCCUUCGACGAGUCGAGUUGUUUGGGAAUGCAGCUCUAAGCGGGAGGUAAAUUUCUUCUAAAGCUAAAUACCGGCCAGAGACCGAUAGCGUACAAGUAGAGUGAUCGAAAGAUGAAAAGCACUUUGGAAAGAGAGUUAAAGAGCACGUGAAAUUGUUGAAAGGGAAGCUCUUGCCGCCAGACUUGCCGCGGUUGCUCAGCCGCGCCCCCCUCUGGGGACGGCGUACUCUUCCGCCGGCAGGCCAGCGUCGGUUCGGGCGGCCGGAUAAAGGCUCGGGAACGUAGCACCCUGCGGGGUGUGUUAUAGCCCGGGGCGUAAUGCGGUCAGCCCGGUCCGAGGCACGCGUUCGCGAGGACGCUGGCGUAAUGGCCGUAAGCGACCCGUCUUGAAACACGGACCAAGGAGUCUAACAUCUGUGCGAGUGUUUGGGCGUCAAACCCACACGCGUAAUGAAAGUGAACGGAGGUGAGAACCCCCCUUCAGAGGGGUGCACCAUCGACCGAUCCUGAUGUCUUCUGAUGGAUUUGAGUAGGAGCAUAGCUGUUGGGACCCGAAAGAUGGUGAACUAUUCCCGGAUAGGGUGAAGCCAGGGGAAACUCUGGUGGAGGCUCGCAGCGGUUCUGACGUGCAAAUCGAUCGUCAAAUCUAGGAAUAGGGGCGAAAGACUAAUCGAACCAU
rnacentral:rRNA from 1 species